UACGUAGGCGGAGUGACAAGUUGGAUGUGAAAUCUUUAAGCUCAAACUUAAAAACUGCGUCCAAAACUGUCAUUCUGGAGUUUGGGAUAGGAAAACGGAAUUCCUGGUGUAGGAGUGAAAUCUAUAGAUAUCAGGAAGAACACCGAUGGCGAAGGCAGUUUUCUGGCCUAAAACUGACGCUGAUGUACGAAAGCCAGGGGAGCGAACG
rnacentral:rRNA from 1 species